rnacentral:rRNA from 1 species
UACAGAGGUCUCAAGCGUUGUUCGGAUUCAUUGGGCGUAAAGGGUGCGUAGGUGGCGCCGUAAGUCGGGUGUGAAAUUUCGGAGCUUAACUCCGAAACUGCAUUCGAUACUGCGGUGCUUGAGGACUGGAGAGGAGACUGGAAUUCUUGGUGUAGCAGUGAAAUGCGUAGAUAUCAAGAGGAACACCAGUGGCGAAGGCGAGUCCCUGGACAAUACCUGACACUGAGGCACGAAAGCCAAGGGAGCAAACAGG